UCUUAAAGGAAGGAAUGAUACUGGUAAU
rnacentral:piRNA from 1 species